CACAGUGCUGUUGAACGUGGAAAGAACUUAUUUCUGAGGCACAAUUACCAGCUCUAACAUAUGAAAAGUCGAUGAUAGACAGACAUACAGCAUAAAUGUAUCGAGGACAAAAAAUAUCUUCUGAAUGCAGCCGUCAGCGAGCCAUUGAAUGUCCUGUAGCAAAGAAACAUCACCAAGAAGAUCAUUCUCCGUGCCACAAAAAGUCUGGUGGUACAGCAGGAAUCAGGGACAGAAUUCAAUCACCACUACUCUGUGUGCAUGAAUGCUGAUGCUGUAUCAUCUGAAUGAAGAUAUGUCACAUUCAAAAUGCACAGUCCCAACAAGGCAAAGAGAAGCCAAAAGGAAUGAUUUCUCAUUGGCUUUGUGCAUCUGGGCUCGUCCCCAAAACAUCAUUCCCCAUUGCUGAAGAACUGGAAGCCUGAAGUGAACUUGAACUGCUAUAUUAUGCUGCUCGCUUUCCAUGAAGUCUUAUGCAUAAAAAUAAGCUGCUAUUGUUGAGAUGAACCAACUUCCAGCAUACCAUGGGUGCUUAUUAAGUGUUAAAUAAUAAUAAUAUGUUUGGUGAUGCAGUAGGCUUGAUUUAUACUCAUUAUUAUUAUUUUUGCUUUCUUCCUAAUCCACGGAGUUGGAUCAUGUGGGCUGGGCCACCCCAUUGUUCGGGGAAAUUAGUGAGGCAAAUUAGUGACAGGCUGCACACAUCUCUCUCCACCUAGCACACCACAAUGACAAUUUACCUGUCAGCCUUUCUGACACUAAUCUUUGCCUGUGGCUCUUUCUGGUCCAACUUUCUAAAUCCCCUUGUAGUUAUUUAAAUCUUUGAAAGCUGGUUCUUUGGGAGAUUGAGAAAUGAUGGUCAUGGGCAAUAUAUUAUUUCUGGGGUGGAAAAAAAACCAGGCUUUUCAGAGCUUUCUCUCACUUUCACCAGAGCUUGAACUAUAUUGUGUUUCUCCCAGGUAUCAGCAAAUAUGUGGGCGGUUGCACGGAGGCAUCUUUACAGAGUGUGGGUAAUUGUUUGGUCACGCCUAUCAAUCAGCAAAGGCUGUACUUGAAUUUUUUUUCUGAUUAGCUACAGACAUUUUGGGGGGAUAUUUGACUUGGGACCAGGUUUCAAAAAUGCAUGCUCUCUGCAGAAGCUUAUCUUCAUGUCUUAAAACAUCAUACUUGGCAAAGGUCCUAUUUGGUGACUUUUAUCUGCUUACAUUGUCUAAUUGCGGGGACCAAAGGAAGACAGAAUACUUUUAAAAAUGAAAACAAACAAGUUGGAAUGCUUUUGUGCACACAAGUUGUAUUUGAAUCCUUCUGUGGGUGACCAGAGCUUUCCCUGGGCCUCUGACUCCACAUAUGACAGAACAUGAGUUCCUUAAGGAUGAAGAGUGGACCAGUCUUCUCUCUUUCCUCUCCCCAUACUACAGGCUGACUGACAAGAACAUAAAGGAAGAAAAGCUCAGUACUGAGACACUGGAUUUUCCAGAUUCUAAAUUAGAACAUAGAUGUUCAAGGGGCAUAAGUAUGUGGGUAAGGAUAAUGAAGUCAACGGUUUAAAAUGGGGAUCAGUGUGAAAGUUCUGAGCUCUUAGCCCUUGGAGUCACUGUAUGCUCAGGCCAGUAACCUCCUAGAGUGAUGCUCUCUUAUUUUAAGAACUGAUAUG